UGGCUUGGCGUUCAGGAUACAGGUAGCUUACCACCGGGAGCCACGUCCUGAGGGAGAGUGUGUCCAGAAGGACUCCUUAUCAUCAGGGACAACAAGGAGGCUCAAGCCCUGGAGAUGGCAACCAUACACCGGCCCCUACUCACCUGCAUGGGCUCUAGCAACUCCACCCAUACUUUGGGGCGGUGUGUCGCCUGCUCAAGCGCUGGCUGGGACCUCUUCAGUGAUGACAUAAGAGGACACUGCUGACCUGCUGGUGGCGUCCCUCUUCCUGCAGCCGUCCGCCUUCACUCCUCCAGGGUCUCCUCCUUCGCUUCCUCCACCUGCUCUCCUCCCUUCGACUGGAGAAACAACCCCCGGUGGUCAACCUCAACAACCAGCUCACCGGGGCUGACGACACUGAGAUCAAGAAUGACUUCAUCUCCAGAGUUUCUGCCUGUCAUGUUCGUUGCCACGCCCAAAGACAAGACGCUGUCAAUCUGGACCAAAUAGGCUCCAUCUGGACAGGUUAGAACACGGACACACAUCCAGUAUAGUCACUAGUACAGUCAUCCAAUAGCAUUGUACACAACAGCCCAUUGUACACAACAUAGUAACAGACUCAGACUUGAAAGAGAAGAAAUAGAAUACAAACUUGUAUCAAAUGAUUGAACUGCGGUGUACUAACUCUCACACUGUCAAAGGCCGGCAAAAAAAAUAAAAAAUCCCGUCUGUGUAUUGAGUAGUUUCGUCAAGGCUCUAAAGUGCGACCAUUUUGGUCGCAUAUGCAUCUAAAUAUUUUGCUGUGCUACCUACAAUUGCAAUUUUGGAGCACCAGUGCACCUACAAGAGAAAUUACUCAGAUAAGAUUUUUUUCUAAUAAUUAUACUUCACUCUACUGUUGUUUUCCAAGUGCCCUAGAGAAACGAUUGAGUGAAUAUUCGUUAGCAUCAUGGUUGUACCAUUUUUACAAUAGCAUUUUUUAAAAUUGUUUCUAGCCCUAGCAGUCCAGAAGAUAUGACCCAAAUUACCCGCACAACAUUUUUUUCCUUCCUAUAGCGGAUUAGAUGUCUGCGUUUUUACUUUCAUAAACAUGUCUCGGGCCAUUCUUAAGCUACUCGUGGGCCAUUCAUUUACGCCUUGUUCAGUCAUGUUACCUCAUUAGCUAGCUAGCUAACAACCGGAUAACUUUACCAGUAUAUUCAAACAUUUGGGGGCACAGAAAGAAAGAAAAAGGGCUAUAUAUUUUUCAGGAGAUCAAUGAUCAUAGUAAUGAAUGACGGAUCUCUUGCAUGUCAUCACACACAAUGUUCUUAAAGGGAUAGUUCACCCAAAUUGCAAAAUGAAUCAUUGGUUUCCUUAUCCUAAAGUUUUAGCAUUUCUGGCACAAAUCCCAUUUAAGUCAUGGGACCGAUAUGACAUUUUUUCGCGCGUCAUGUCCAAAUCAUCCGAAAGUAUCUCAAAUCGAAGCUCAACAAAGUAACUAGUAGAUGAUUUGAACUUGUAACAUGCUAGCAUCAUUCCUCUGACUUUAAUGGGAUUUGUGCCACGAAUGCUAAACCGUUAGCAUGUGGAAACAGUGCCAGGGGAAACUGGAUGCUGUCAUACCUUGUCCAAAG